CUAAUCAUGAAUUAUCCCAGAGUUUGUUACUUUCUUUAUUUCGAUCCCAGAAUUUGUAAUGUUCAUGAACUCUUUUCAUAUCACUUGUGCACUUUCACCAUGUUGCUCUUCAAUUCUUUUCAAACAAAGAUCCUAUCAUGACUAGGGACUACAAACACAACUCUCCUACAUAAAAUUAUUCCUUUUCCCAAGUUAAUCGAGAAAGCGAGUCAACAAAAUAAGUGCUCAUGAAAGAUUCCAAGGACGAUCUUCAUUACACAUUAAACUUUAUCUCACCAAAAAAUAGGAUACAGUGGAUGCUGCAGACAACUUUAAAUAAAAAAUUCAUUUAUCAAGCAAUUUGAAAUAAAGGUCAAACAUACCUGUGCUAAUACUCUGGUAAUCUUAUUUAUCUGUAAAGGUUAACCACAAAAUUGCCUGAACUUAAAAUUACAAUUCUUGAAGCAGCCUAAAUUGGCUGGUUAGGUAGAAUGGGGAAAUUUCUCUCAUUUACCUUACACAGAAGUCCUUGAGGUCAAAUCAAUGUCAAUGGCUAUCAAGAAAGGGACAAAAUAAUCACAAAAUGUAUUAUAGCGAAGAGAAGCUAAACUGCACACCGCUCUUCCCUUGGUCAUGCUCGUGUUGUUUCAGUAUGUAACAGUAGUUAACCUGAUUAUAAUGGGUCGAGCUGUCAGAGAUAUUAAACAAGUACUUCGACACGUAUAAAAGACAGAAUAAAUCCUUCCUGGGGACUACAACAGAUGGCUCCCAAGUGGGUACAAGUUGUACUUCUGGUUUCAAUCCAUAUUUCAAUUAAAAAAAAAAAAAUUGAAUUUAAAGUUUAGUAAAUUUUUUUGCUGCUUUAUUCCCCGUCCGAUCCGUGUUUUAUAUGAAUGUUGGCGAAUUUAUUAGCCAUUUGUCUGAAGUACUUAUUCGCUAUUUUAUGGUGCAAAAGACAUCAAAGUUGUCAGAUGAAUAUAAUUAACAAUCUUUAUUAUUUUGAUAGAAGUGCUUGUCUUGUGAAUG
rnacentral:lncRNA from 1 species